GACGAACGCUGGCGGCGUGCCUAAUACAUGCAAGUCGAGCGAACAGAGAAGGAGCUUGCUCCUUCGACGUUAGCGGCGGACGGGUGAGUAACACGUGGGCAACCUACCUUAUAGUUUGGGAUAACUCCGGGAAACCGGGGCUAAUACCGAAUAAUCUGUUUCACCUCAUGGUGAAACACUGAAAGACGGUUUCGGCUGUCGCUAUAGGAUGGUCCCGCGGCGCAUUAGCUAGUUGGUGAGGUAACGGCUCACCAAGGCGACGAUGCGUAGCCGACCUGAGAGGGUGAUCGGCCACACUGGGACUGAGACACGGCCCAGACUCCUACGGGAGGCAGGAGUAGGGAAUCUUCCACAAUGGGCGAAAGCCUGAUGGAGCAACGCCGCGUGAGUGAAGAAGGAUUUCGGUUCGUAAAACUCUGUUGUAAGGGAAGAACAAGUACAGUAGUAACUGGCUGUACCUUGACGGUACCUUAUUAGAAAGCCACGGCUAACUACGUGCCAGCAGCCGCCGUAAGAC
rnacentral:rRNA from 1 species